rnacentral:rRNA from 1 species
UACGUAGGGUGCGAGCGUUGUCCGGAAUUAUUGGGCGUAAAGAGCUCGUAGGCGGUUUGUCGCGUCGACUGUGAAAACCCGAGGCUUAACCUCGGGCCUGCAGUCGAUACGGGCAGACUAGAGUUCGGUAGGGGAGACUGGAAUUCCCGGUGUAGCGGUGAAAUGCGCAGAUAUCAGGAGGAACACCGAUGGCGAAGGCAGGUCUCUGGGCCGAUACUGACGCUGAGGAGCGAAAGCGUGGGGAGCGAACAGG